CUGUGUUGCUUACCUAUCGAAAGGAAUCGGACGGUCUCGUUUGUCCCUCUCCGCCCCCAGCCCUCGCGGGUUGCGGGGUGGACGUCACGCACGCCCCGUGUUCCAGGCAAGCCGCUCGGCUGGCUCGGCCCACGGUGUGCUCUGCCCGUUCUCUCGGAUGCAGAACGUUACGCGCGGGCGUGGGGUCUUUCGGCUCCGUUUGCCCGAGCAACGCAUUUGUCCCUCGACGCGAACGACUGUCGUGCUCGUCUUGAACCCCGCGGCCUCACGGCCCGUCGGGUGUCAUGCGGGUGUCGGC
rnacentral:misc_RNA from 1 species